rfam:Pan troglodytes isolate Yerkes chimp pedigree #C0471 (Clint) chromosome 5, whole genome shotgun sequence.
CCCUCAUUAGUAUAGUGGUGAGUAUCCCCGCCUGUCACGCGGGAGACUGGGGUUCGAUUCCCUGACAAGGAG